rnacentral:lncRNA from 1 species
CGAAUUCUGAAGCAACCUUAAAAGUUAAAUAAAUCUCAUCAAGUAAACUAUUUCAGACAGAUCCAGAGUGCCAUUGUUUCCAUUUUAUAUGAACACCAAAAGUCCAAAACAGAGAGUUUGAAUUAUUCAACAAGCGAGACUGAAGUGUUCCCUGCAUAAGGAGCAGGGGGGUCAAGUCUCUGCGCAAUUACACACUCAUAGUCUCAUACACAAUUGCAGUCCAGGGACACCUGGCGCUUACAUUAGUCAACAGCAUUAUAGGCCGCCACAUGGUUUGGUUGAUACUCCAGUAGAAUCGCCCACGUGCUUACCUAAUAAAUACUACAAUAACCCAUAGACGUGACCAUAAACAAGAUCAUUGUCAUGCACGCAUAGCUGUACUCUUACUUCUUUAUUAGUAACGCAAUCUAAUCAUCAAGACCUGAUUCGUCGCAGUCCGGGAAAUUUCCACGGCCAGACGGCCGAUUUCCGCGAAAGGUGAUACGAGAGGAUCGGUGGACCGACCUUGGAGGUGCGGGUCGACGACGACGUCGCGGAAGUGGA